rnacentral:rRNA from 1 species
GAGCCCGUGAAUCUGGACGGCGGAAUUCAGAAUUGUCGGGCGGUCGGCGCUUUCGGGUGCGGGCCGUCGGGCAGUUUGAUUUUUCCGUCGUCGCGCAGACGUCGCGACCUGUUGGACGUCGGUCCCUGUUCGGAGGAACCGCGCGCGAGCUCGCUGCGGCCGUGUGUGUGACGUUUCGGCGUUGCGCGCGCUGUCGCGGCGAAGCGCGCGGACUUCUGGCCGACUCGUCCGACAGUAUGCGGUACGCGCGGUGUCCGGUUUGCCGCUGCCACUCGUGUACGCGGCGCCGGUGCCGGUCGGCGACGAUUUCUUCGGGCCUCUUUCCGACC